UACGUAGGGUGCAAGCGUUGUCCGGAAUUAUUGGGCGUAAAGAGCUCGUAGGCGGCUCGUCGCGUCGACCGUGAAAACCCGCAGCUUAACUGCGGGCUUGCGGUUGAUACGGGCGGGCUAGAGUUCGGUAGGGGAGACUGGAAUUCCUGGUGUAGCGGUGAAAUGCGCAGAUAUCAGGAGGAACACCGGUGGCGAAGGCGGCGACCUGGUCCGAUACUGACGCUGAGGCGCGAAAGCGUGGGGAGCAAACAGG
rnacentral:rRNA from 1 species